rnacentral:rRNA from 1 species
UACGGGGGGGGCAAGCGUUGUUCGGAAUUACUGGGCGUAAAGCGCACGUAGGCGGAUAUUUAAGUCAGGGGUGAAAUCCCGGGGCUCAACCCCGGAACUGCCUUUGAUACUGGGUAUCUGGAGGUCGAGAGAGGCGAGUGGAAUUCCGAGUGUAGAGGUGAAAUUCGUAGAUAUUCGGAGGAACACCAGUGGCGAAGGCGGCUCGCUGGCUCGAUACUGACGCUGAGGUGCGAAAGCGUGGGGAGCAAACAGG